CAAUAGCGUAUAUUAAAGUUGUUGCAGUUAAAAAGCUCGUAGUUGGAUUUGUGGCGUACGGUGGGUUCCGGGCACUUGUUGUCUGGGUAACUUGCUGUUGCCAUCCUUGGGUGGAACCUGUGUGGCAUUAGGUUGUCGUGCAGGGGAUGCCCAUCAUUUACUGUGAAAAAAUUAGAGUGUUCAAAGCAGGCUUAUGCCGUUGAAUGUAUUAGCAUGGAAUAAUGAGAUAGGACUUAUUUGCUAUUUUGUUGGUUUGCGCGAAGAGGUAAUGAUUAAUAGGGACAGUUGGGGGUAUUCGUAUUCCAUUGUCAGAGGUGAAAUUCUUGGAUUUUUGGAAGACGAACUACUGCGAAAGCAUUUACCAAGGAUGUUUUCAUUAA
rnacentral:rRNA from 1 species